rnacentral:rRNA from 1 species
AGCCUGAUGCAGCGACGCCGCGUGAGGGAUGACGGCCUUCGGGUUGUAAACCUCUUUCAGCAGGGAAGAAGCGAAAGUGACGGUACCUGCAGAAGAAGCGCCGGCUAACUACGUGCCAGCAGCCGCGGUAAUACGUAGGGCGCAAGCGUUGUCCGGAAUUAUUGGGCGUAAAGAGCUCGUAGGCGGUUUGUCGCGUCUGCUGUGAAAGCCCGGGGCUCAACCCCGGGUCUGCAGUGGGUACGGGCAGACUAGAGUGCAGUAGGGGAGACUGGAAUUCCUGGUGUAGCGGUGAAAUGCGCAGAUAUCAGGAGGAACACCGAUGGCGAAGGCAGGUCUCUGGGCUGUAACUGACGCUGAGGAGCGAAAGCAUGGGGAGCGAACAGGAUUAGAUACCCUGGUAGUCCAUGCCGUAAACGUUGGGCACUAGGUGUGGGGGACAUUCCACGUUUUCCGCGCCGUAGCUGAGGCAUUAAGUGCCCCGCCUGGGGAGUACGGCCGCAAGGCUAAAACUCAAAGGAAUUGACGGGGGCCCGCACAAGCGGCGGAGCAUGCGGAUUAAUUCGAUGCAACGCGAAGAACCU